rnacentral:rRNA from 1 species
GACGAACGCUGGCGGCGUGCUUAACACAUGCAAGUCGAACGAAGAGCGAUGGAAGCUUGCUUCUAUCAAUCUUAGUGGCGAACGGGUGAGUAACGCGUAAUCAACCUGCCCUUCAGAGGGGGACAACAGUUGGAAACGACUGCUAAUACCGCAUACGAUCUGACCUCGGCAUCGAGGAUAGAUGAAAGGUGGCCUCUACAUGUAAGCUAUCACUGAAGGAGGGGAUUGCGUCUGAUUAGCUAGUUGGAGGGGUAACGGCCCACCAAGGCGAUGAUCAGUAGCCGGUCUGAGAGGAUGAACGGCCACAUUGGGACUGAGACACGGCCCAGACUCCUACGGGAGGCAGCAGUGGGGAAUCUUCCGCAAUGGACGAAAGUCUGACGGAGCAACGCCGCGUGAGUGAUGACGGCCUUCGGGUUGUAAAGCUCUGUUAAUCGGGACGAAAGGCCUUUUUGCGAAUAGGGAGAAGGAUUGACGGUACCGGAAGAGAAAGCCACGGCUAACUACGUG